AGGGUGUAAACGCUGCAGACUUGGUGUUGGAGGCCCUUUGGGGGCAUUCAGUGCCGGAGAGAAGUUGUUAAGUCUGCUACUUGGGAGUACGUCCGCAAGGAUGAAACUUAAAGGAAUUGGCGGGGGAGCACCGCAACGGGAGGAGCGUGCGGUUUAAUUGGAUUCAACACCGUAAAACUCACCAGGGAAGACUGUUACAUGAAGGCCGAGAUGAAGACUCUGCUAGAUUUUCAGAGAGGUGGUGCAUGGCGUCAGUG
rnacentral:rRNA from 1 species